rnacentral:rRNA from 1 species
CAGCAGCCGCGGUAACACAGAGGGUGCAAGCGUUAAUCGGAAUUACUGGGCGUAAAGCGCGCGUAGGUGGUUUGUUAAGUUGGAUGUGAAAUCCCCGGGCUCAAACUGGGAACUGCAUCCAAAACUGGCAAGCUAGAGUAUGGUAGAGGGUGGUGGAAUUUCCUGUGUAGCGGUGAAAUGCGUAGAUAUAGGAAGGAACACCAGUGGCGAAGGCGACCACCUGGACUGAUACUGACACUGAGGUGCGAAAGCGUGGGGAGCAAACAGGAUUAGAUACCCCAGUAGUCCCUGUCUCUUAUAU